UGGAUCCAGACUUUGAUCCUGGCUCAGGAUGAACGCUAGCGACAGGCUUAACACAUGCAAGUCGUGGGGCAGCGGGGGUGAAGGCUUGCCUUCACCUGCCGGCGACCGGCGCACGGGUGAGUAACACGUAUGCAACCUGGCCGUGACAGGAGGAUAACCGGUAGAAAUGCCGCCUAAUACUCCAUAAUACUUUGCGGGGACAUCCCCGUGAGGUCGAAGGAAGCGAUUCCGGUCACGGAUGGGCAUGCGGCGCAUUAGCUAGUCGGCGGGGUAACGGCCCACCGAGGCGACGAUGCGUAGGGGUUCUGAGAGGAAGGUCCCCCACAUUGGAACUGAGACACGGUCCAGACUCCUACGGGAGGCAGCAGUGAGGAAUAUUGGUCAAUGGGCGAAAGCCUGAACCAGCCAAGUCGCGUGAGGGAAUAAGGCCCUAUGGGCCGUAAACCUCUUUUGCCGGGGAGCAAGAUCGGGGACGUGUCCCUGAUUGGAGAGUACCCGGAGAAAAAGCAUCGGCUAACUCCGUGCCAGCAGCCGCGGUAAUACGGAGGAUGCGAGCGUUAUCCGGAUUUAUUGGGUUUAAAGGGUGCGUAGGCGGGCUCUUAAGUCAGCGGUAAAAUUGCGGUGCUCAACGCCGUAGAGCCGUUGAAACUGGGAGCCUUGAGUGAGCGAGAAGUAGGCGGAAUGCGUGGUGUAGCGGUGAAAUGCAUAGAUAUCACGCAGAACUCCGAUUGCGAAGGCAGCUUACCGGCGCUCAACUGACGCUGAGGCACGAAAGUGCGGGGAUCGAACAGGCUCAGAUACCCUGGUAGUCCGCAUAGUAAACGAUGGAUGCUAUCUGUUCGGGGAGAAUGAUUCCUGAGCGGAACAGCGAAAGCGUUAAGCAUCCCACCUGGGGAGUACGCCGGCAACGGUGCAACUCAAAUGAAUUGACGGA
rnacentral:rRNA from 1 species